GGGAUUGUAAUUUAAUAGGAAAAAUAAUUAAAUGUCAUCUAAUUCAUACAAGUUCGAUUCUUGUUAAUCUCG
rnacentral:tRNA from 1 species